UAACCAGAUGCGAUAGGUUUUUCACACAGUUGUUUUCCAGUCCUAUUUCGCAGUUCGUUUUUCCGAAGCUCGUGUGACAGCCGAAUCAAAAAGACUGCUGGGUAUACCUACCUAGGUAUACGUAUUCAGAAUCAGAAGUUUCUUGUUCAGUUGCAUUAAUUCACAGGUUCGUGUGAUAGAAGCAUUACCUACAUACCGGAUUCAAAUCAAAAGGCAUGAAUUUUUCAGUGAUGGCUAUUAAAUCGUAUUUAUUCAUUUUAUUGGUUAUAGCCUUACAACUUUAUUCUGUUAAAUACACUGUUGUGAUCGCACCAGGUAUCGACCCUAACGGCAUAUUUGGCUCGGUCUGGCAACCUCCACCUGAUCCAGCAGGUUAUGACGGUGACACUGAAAAAUAAUUGAAUAGUUUGGAGCCCUCACUAGAUGGGUAUAGGUAGGUAGGUAUUAAGAAAAAAAUCAACAUAUAAAUUUACAGAGCUCUAUUUUUAAGAAAAAUUAACGUAAGUAAGUAAGUAAGUAAGUACCUAUAAGUAAUAAUGUUAAUUUAACAUAGAUAUACCUAAUUUUACAGACCUUUAUUUUUCACAAAAAUAAACCUAAUAAUUUUCCUCAUACAUAAUAUUUUUU